UUGAAAAGUCAGACUGAAACGCAAAAGAAACAUUCCCGAAUCUGGCUUUUAAUGGGGUUUCAGCUUAGAAUAAUUAGUGGAGAGCAGAGAUCCUACCCUGCUUCCUUCAUUUCCUUUCUUUCUUGCUUAGUUUCGGUAACUUUUCGGCUAUUUUUUAUAGUCAAAUAGUACCGAUAAACGCGUUUUUCAAAUGUCAACUCUUAUUGGUCCAGAAAAGCUUGCAGAGACGCGAGAACGCCCUUUUGAUAUCUCUUCCUCGUCCUCUCUCUUUCCGAAACUCGAAAAUUGGAAUUGUUUUCUUUCUGGGUUUUUUUAAUUUUUUCAAGGGUUUGUUCCCAAUUGAGAGAGCUUUGUUUGCUCUAUCCUAUAGGAAUUUUCCUUUGUCUUCUUGAAAAUCGAAAUGGGUGAGCGUUGGAGAUUCAAUAGGUUCAGGUUUCGCAUGGUGGUGUUGCUGGUGAUGUGUUUGUUGAAUAAUAUUUGGCGGUUGGGUUUGUCUCUUAACGCCGAGGGGUUGGCGCUGUUGAGAUUUCGGGAGGGAGUGAUGACAGAUCCUUUUGGUGCUCUGUUGAAUUGGAACGAUGAUGAUGGACUCAAUGAUCCCUGUUCCUGGUUCGGAGUUGAGUGCUCCGACGGAAAAGUUGUGAUUUUGUAAGCGAUUCUUGUCCUUUAUCCAUGAAAUACUCUGUUUCACACUGUCUUUCCCCAAUUAUGCUGCAAAAUUUCAAUUUUUAGUGCGUAUGGAUUAGUUUUUGCGUCACAUGAAUGAAAAUUUCUUUAAAUUUAAUUUAGGUGUUGGGCAUUUGAUACAUGAACUAGAAUUUGGAAGCAAUUUUACUAUAUUUUUGGACGAAUUA